GGUAAUGCCGGAUGCUCCGGUUGGAUGCAUGUCCUUCCGGGAAAGAUCCAUCGGUAUGGGAUGGGGUCGCGUCCUAUCAGCUUGAUGGCGGGGUAACGGCCCACCAUGGCUUCGACGGGUAGCCGGCCUGAGAGGGCGACCGGCCACAUUGGGACUGAGAUACGGCCCAGACUCCUACGGGAGGCAGCAGUGGGGAAUAUUGCACAAUGGGCGCAAGCCUGAUGCAGCGACGCCGCGUGCGGGAUGGAGGCCUUCGGGUUGUAAACCGCUUUUGAUCGGGAGCAAGCCCUUCGGGGUGAGUGUACCUUUCGAAUAAGCACCGGCUAACUACGUGCCAGCAGCCGCGGUAAUACGUAGGGUGCAAGCGUUAUCCGGAAUUAUUGGGCGUAAAGGGCUCGUAGGCGGUUCGUCGCGUCCGGUGUGAAAGCCCAUCGCUUAACGGUGGGUCUGCGCCGGGUACGGGCGGGCUGGAGUGCGGUAGGGGAGACUGGAAUUCCCGGUGUAACGGUGGAAUGUGUAGAUAUCGG
rnacentral:rRNA from 1 species